UACAGAGGUCCCAAGCGUUGUUCGGAUUUAUUGGGCGUAAAGGGCGCGUAGGCGGCGCGGCAAGUCGGGUGUGAAAUCUCGGAGCUUAACUCCGAAACUGCAUUCGAUACUGCCGUGCUUGAGGACUGGAGAGGAGACUGGAAUUUACGGUGUAGCGGUGAAAUGCGUAGAUAUCGGAAGGAAGCCCAGGGGCGAAGGCGGGUCUCUGGACGGUACUGACGCUGAGGCGCGAAAGCGUGGGGAGCAAACAGG
rnacentral:rRNA from 1 species